UCAUCUCUCAUACAGGCAGAACAUACAUGUAUCAUCUCUCAGACAGGCAGAACAUACAUGUAUCAUCACUCAAGACUGGCAGGACAUACAUGUAUCAUUUCUCAGACAGGCAGG